rnacentral:rRNA from 1 species
UACGUAGGGGGCAAGCGUUGUCCGGAUUUAUUGGGCGUAAAGAGCGUGUAGGCGGUUUGAUAGGUCCGCUGUGAAAACUCGAGGCUCAACCUCGAGACGCCGGUGGAAACCAUCAGACUAGAGUCCGGAAGAGGAGAGUGGAAUUCCUGGUGUAGCGGUGAAAUGCGCAGAUAUCAGGAAGAACACCCGUGGCUGAGGCGGCUCUCUAGUACGGUACUGACGCUGAGACGCGAAAGCGUGGGGAGCGAACAGG